rfam:Beta vulgaris subsp. vulgaris 0248.scaffold00656.con0011.1, whole genome shotgun sequence.
GCAAAUCUAUGAUGAAUGAUUUAAUGUAUUCCUGAUGAAUCAGUGAAGAUUUUAGAAAUUUAUCACCAUCUUUCGGCUGAGAUUUGC